GACGAACGCUGGCGGCGUGCUUAACACAUGCAAGUCGAACGGAAAGGCCCUGCCUUUGUGGGGUGCUCGAGUGGCGAACGGGUGAGUAACACGUGAGUAACCUGCCCUUGACUUUGGGAUAACUUCAGGAAACUGGGGCUAAUACCGGAUAGGAGCUCCUGCUGCAUGGUGGGGGUUGGAAAGUUUCGGCGGUUGGGGAUGGACUCGCGGCUUAUCAGCUUGUUGGUGGGGUAGUGGCUUACCAAGGCUUUGACGGGUAGCCGGCCUGAGAGGGUGAGCGGCCACAUUGGGACUGAGAUACGGCCCAGACUCCUGCGGGGGGGAGCAGUGGAGAAUAGUGCACAAUGGGCGGAAGCGUGAUGCAGCAACGCCGCGUGCGGGAUGACGGCCUUCGGGUUGUAAACCGCUUUCGCCUGUGACGAAGCGUGAGUGACGGUAAUUGGUAAAGAAGCACCGGCUAACUACGUG
rnacentral:rRNA from 1 species